AACGAACGCUGGCGGCAUGCCUAACACAUGCAAGUCGAACGAGACCUUCGGGUCUAGUGGCGCACGGGUGCGUAACGCGUGGGAACCUGCCCUUAGGUUCGGAAUAACUCCCCGAAAGGGGUGCUAAUACCGGAUAAUGUCUUCGGACCAAAGAUUUAUCGCCUUUGGAUGGGCCCGCGUUGGAUUAGCUAGUUGGUAGGGUAAAAGCCUACCAAGGCGACGAUCCAUAGCUGGUAUGAGAGGAUGAUCAGCCACACUGGGACUGAGACACGGCCCAGACUCCUACGGGAGGCAGCAGUGGGGAAUAUUGGACAAUGGGCGAAAGCCUGAUCCAGCAAUGCCGCGUGAGUGAUGAAGGCCUUAGGGUUGUAAAGCUCUUUUACCCGGGAUGAUAAUGACAGUACCGGGAGAAUAAGCUCCGGCUAACUCCAUG
rnacentral:rRNA from 1 species